rnacentral:lncRNA from 1 species
GAGCUGGUCCAUGGCGAGGAGGGACAGGACGGACACCUGGCAAGUCCUGCCCUGCCUGUCCCCCAACCUUGGUCGGCCCGCCCGCGCACGGCUGGCCUCCCUAGGCCACAUUCUUGCACAAAGUUCGAGAGGCUGUGGGAAAAGCAACCCUGAACCGGCCAAGGGCCGGCGAAGCUGAUCCCGCAAUGGCAUUUUGUUUUGAACAGUUGCUGGGGUUGACGUUUCCUCAUAAGGUAAGGUGUCACUGGACAGUCGGCUGCCCAAAUGCCACAUGUAUAAUUAGCCUGCGCACUCAGCACCUCGUCCCCGAGGCCCGCAGGCACGGGCUUGGCCGACCUGGUCCGCUCAGCUCUGUUCUGGGUUCCAGGAUUCCCGAGGGAGGGCCGAACCUGCCAGGGCAGCCUCGGGAGGCCGUGGCAGAGAAGAAUGUGACAGUGUAGCCUUGUCUUGGAUUUUUUUUUAAUCUUUUCUUUUCUUCUCUUCCUAUUUUAUCUUCUUAUUUUUCGGCUGUUCAACUAUUGGUAAGAGGGGUACUGGACACCAGCGCAGAGUGCAGACUGAAUGGGGAAAGGAGAUGCAGAGAAAAUCUGGCAACAUACCUAUUCUUCACAUCCUACUCGUGGGGGAGGGCUGCUAGUGGCCCUCUGCACCAACCCAGUAAGACCAUUCCAGGCUUGGCAUUGUAUGUCCUGGCUUGGGUAGGGACUUCAUGCUUCUAGGUUGGAUUGUUUACCUGUCUCUGUGCUCCCUCCCACCCCCACUCCCAAAGGUCUCUCAGAAGUUAAUAUCCGUGCUCUGAUUGCAGCUUCUGGUUUCCCCCUCCAGGCCUAGCCGCUUGGGGCUGCUAGUGAUCACUGUGGGAAAGCCUGGGCAGAUCUACUGUCUUUCCCUAUCUUACUCUGGUUCAGCCUGGGGUUCUUAGGAGCAGAAAGAUAAAUUUUUGCAUCUUUGGUGACCAACUUCAAUUUGCUGCUCUGUAAUCUACUGGCUCUUCUAUUUCUGUAUUUGCUCUCUUUCUACGAACAUUUUAUUGUGGUGUGUGUGGCGAGGAAUUCAUUGAUGUAUUUUAUUUACUAAGCUCCCAUGGUCUAUAAAGCCUUCUAAAGAUUUCUCUGGAUUGAAGCACCAUGUAUUGAAGAAGCCUAACGUGAUAUUAUUAAAUCCUUUAAGAGUUUUGCGUGUUUUAACUAUUUUUAAUCAAAUUACUUAAGUAUAUUGAUUUGAUGCUCUUCAAUGAUGAUACGUAUAAAUAGGCAUAAUAAAUAUAAGAUAAAUUCAAAGUGCACUAUGUGAUGUGCAUAUUACAGUGUAUACAAACAUUCUAUGUUCUCUCGGUUCUCUCUUGAUCUCUUUCUUCUCAGAAAAAUCUCCCACGAUAACCCUUGAAAUGAUCUGUCACCCUUGCUACCUUCAAUAAUUUGUUGUUUCCAGUCAUCUUAAAGAGACGAAUUGUCUAUCUUUGAUAUAUCCAUUCACAUGUAAAAAGGGACUUUAUGCUGUUUGUGAUUUUGACUUCACCGAGCACAAUUUCUUUGCUUCUUUGAAAAGUGGUUCUUUAAAAUUAGACAAAGAAAAUUAAAGAUGCUUCACUUUCCAAGGCCACACAAGCCCCAUAUGUAGAAAAAAGAAAAUGCAACAGAUUUUUUUUUUUUUAAAGAGCAUACUCAUUCCCAGGCAUGGUUGCAAAUGCUACAUUUUAUACUUUACAAAUAGGUCAUUGAAUAACAUAAAGACUUACUAAGUUCUAGACACCCUGAAGAGCAUUUUUGAAGCCACGAGUCUUUACUUUUAAAGGAUUUUCUCUUCUUCUGAAGAUUUUCAUAGUUGGUAGGUGGAGAAACUUAGGUGUGGUUGUCUUGAUGCUAAGCAGGUUGUUGAUAAAACUGAGUAAGAAUGCCCUCAGCUAAGAGAGAGUAGUUCAUUGCAUUUUCUUGGGAAAGAAUAUUGAAGGUCAGGAAUAUUUUUAUUUUCUCAAAAUAAUUUCCAACUAGGUCCAUGGGCAUUGAACCUUCUGUGUAUGAGAAGUCAGCUCCUCUCCUCCCAAUAUAUCCAUGGUAUAAUCCCUAAGCCUCAGUUUCCUUAUCUAUAAAAUGGGAAUAAUAAUAAUAAUACCUAUAUCAUAGGGUUGUUUUGAGGAUUAAAUGAGAUAAACGAAUGUAAAGCACUAAGCUGAGGGAUUGGUAUAAAAUAAACAUUUAAUACAUGUUAUCUGUUAUAGUUGAAGUGGUUCUAUACUUACAGUUAUCUGGAUCUGGCUUCCCAUUCCAGCUUUACUACAUAAUUGCUAUGUAAUCUUUGGGAAGUUACAUAACUUGCUUCUUUCCCUCUUAUGUAAAAUAGA